rnacentral:rRNA from 1 species
UACGUAGGGUGCGAGCGUUAAUCGGAAUUACUGGGCGUAAAGCGUGCGCAGGCGGUUCGUUAUGUCUGCUGUGAAAGCCCCGGGCUUAACCCGGGAAUGGCAGUGGAAACUGGCGGGCUUGAGUGUGGCAGAGGGGGGUGGAAUUCCGCGUGUAGCAGUGAAAUGCGUAGAGAUGCGGAGGAACACCGAUGGCGAAGGCAGCCCCCUGGGCUAACACUGACGCUGAGGCACGAAAGCGUGGGGAGCAAACAGG